CCUACGGGUGGCAGCAGUGGGGAAUCUUGCGCAAUGGGCGAAAGCCUGACGCAGCGACGCCGCGUGAGCGAUGAAGGCCUUCGGGUUGUAAAGCUCUGUGGAGGGGGACGAAUAAGGGCAAGCUAAUACCUUGUCUGAUGACGGUACCCCUUUAGCAAGCACCGGCUAACUCUGUGCCAGCAGCCGCGGUAAGACAGAGGGUGCAAACGUUGUUCGGAAUUACUGGGCGUAAAGCGCGUGUAGGCUGUUCAGAAAGUCGGAUGUGAAAGCCCCGGGCUCAACCUGGGAAGUGCAUUCGAAACUUCUGAGCUGGAGUCUUGGAGAGGAAGGCGGAAUUCUCGGUGUAGAGGUGAAAUUCGUAGAUAUCGAGAGGAACACCGGUGGCGAAGGCGGCCUUCUGGACAAUGACUGACGCUGAGACGCGAAAGCGUGGGGAGCAAACAGGAUUAGAUACCCCAGUAGUC
rnacentral:rRNA from 1 species